rnacentral:rRNA from 1 species
UACGUAGGGGGCAAGCGUUGUCCGGAUUUAUUGGGCGUAAAGAGCGUGUAGGCGGCCAUGUAGGUCCGUUGUGAAAACUCGAGGCUCAACCUCGAGACGCCGAUGGAAACCAUGUGGCUAGAGUCCGGAAGAGGAGAGUGGAAUUCCUGGUGUAGCGGUGAAAUGCGCAGAUAUCAGGAAGAACACCCGUGGCUAAGGCGGCUCUCUAGUACGGUACUGACGCUGAGAAGCGAAAGCGUGGGGAGCGAACAGG